rnacentral:rRNA from 1 species
AUUGAACGCUGGCGGCAUGCCUUACACAUGCAAGUCGAACGGCAGCACGGGUGCUUGCACCUGGUGGCGAGUGGCGAACGGGUGAGUAAUACAUCGGAACAUGUCCUGUAGUGGGGGAUAGCCCGGCGAAAGCCGGAUUAAUACCGCAUACGAUUUACGGAUGAAAGCGGGGGACCUUCGGGCCUCGCGCUAUAGGGUUGGCCGAUGGCUGAUUAGCUAGUUGGUGGGGUAAAGGCCUACCAAGGCGACGAUCAGUAGCUGGUCUGAGAGGACGACCAGCCACACUGGGACUGAGACACGGCCCAGACUCCUACGGGAGGCAGCAGUGGGGAAUUUUGGACAAUGGGCGAAAGCCUGAUCCAGCAAUGCCGCGUGUGUGAAGAAGGCCUUCGGGUUGUAAAGCACUUUUGUCCGGAAAGAAAUCCUUGGCCCUAAUACGGUCGGGGGAUGACGGUACCGGAAGAAUAAGCACCGGCUAACUACGUG